CUCAAGUGCCUGCACCUAUAACCAUGCAUGCCUCAAUGUACAAAAGUUGCUGCUGUGCAUGUUGAGGGGCAUUCAUUUUGUCAGGCACUUCACGAAAGCAAA
rnacentral:lncRNA from 1 species